CCUACGGGUGGCAGCAGUGAGGAAUAUUGGUCAAUGGGCGCGAGCCUGAACCAGCCAAGUCGCGUGAAGGAUGACUGCCCUACGGGUUGUAAACUUCUUUUAUAAAGGAAUAAAGUGCGGCACGUGUGCCUUUUUGUAUGUACCUUAUGAAUAAGGAUCGGCUAACUCCGUGCCAGCAGCCGCGGUAAUACGGAGGAUCCGAGCGUUAUCCGGAUUUAUUGGGUUUAAAGGGUGCGUAGGCGGGGGUUUAAGUUAGUUGGGAAAUCCGGAGGCUCAACCUCGGAAUUGCCUUUGAAACUGGUAGGCUUGAGAGUAGUUGAGGUAGGCGGAAUGCGUGGUGUAGCGGUGAAAUGCUUAGAUAUCACGCAGAACACCGAUUGCGAAGGCAGCGUGCCAAGCUACGACUGACGCUGAUGCACGAAAGCGUGGGGAUCAAACAGGAUUAGAUACCCUAGUAGUC
rnacentral:rRNA from 1 species